rnacentral:rRNA from 1 species
ACAGCAGUCGCCGCGGUAAUACGGAAGGUCCAGGCGUUAUCCGGAUUUAUUGGGUUUAAAGGGAGUGUAGGCGGUCUGUUAAGCGUGUUGUGAAACUUAGGUGCUCAACAUCUAACUUGCAGCGCGAACUGGCGGACUUGAGUGCACGCAACGUAUGCGGAAUUCAUGGUGUAGCGGUGAAAUGCUUAGAUAUCAUGACGAACUCCGAUUGCGAAGGCAGCGUACGGGAGUGUUACUGACGCUUAAGCUCGAAGGUGCGGGUAUCGAACAGGAUUAGAUACCCCUGUAGUCCCUGUCUCUUAUAC